rnacentral:rRNA from 1 species
AUUGAACGCUGGCGGCCGGCUUAACACAUGCAAGUCGAGCGAGCGGCGGACGGGUGAGUAAUGUCUGGGAAACUGCCUGAUGGAGGGGGAUAACUACUGGAAACGGUAGCUAAUACCGCAUACCAUCAGAUGUGCCCACAUGGGAUUAGCGAGUAGGUGGGGUAAUGGCUCACCUAGGCGACGAUCCCUAGCUGGUCUGAGAGGGUGACCCGCCACACUGGAAUUGAGACACUGUCCAGACUCCUACGGGAGGCAGCAGUGGGGAAUAUUUCACAAUGGGCGCAAGCCUGAUGCAGGCAAGCCGCGUGUGUGAAGAAGGCCUUCGGGUUGUAAAGCACUUUCAGCGAGGAGGCGUUAGUCGCGGAAGAGGCAGCGGCUAACUCCGUGGCAGCAGCCGCGGUAAUUC